rnacentral:rRNA from 1 species
GAUGAACGCUGGCGGCGUGCCUAAUACAUGCAAGUCGAGCGAACAGACGAGGAGCUUGCUCCUCUGACGUUAGCGGCGGACGGGUGAGUAACACGUGGAUAACCUACCUAUAAGACUGGGAUAACUUCGGGAAACCGGAGCUAAUACCGGAUAAUAUAUUGAACCGCAUGGUUCAAUAGUGAAAGACGGUUUUGCUGUCACUUAUAGAUGGAUCCGCGCCGCAUUAGCUAGUUGGUAAGGUAACGGCUUACCAAGGCAACGAUGCGUAGCCGACCGGAGAGGGGGGUCGGCCACCCUGGAGGGGGAACAGGGACAAGGCGACUGCGGGAGGCAGCAGUAGGGAACGGUCCGCAGUGGGGGAGAACCUUGCGGAGCAGGGGCGAGUGAGUGACAAAGGUGUUGGGAGCGGAAAGCUCGGUUUUUGGGGAAGAACAAAUGUGUACGUAACUGUGCACGUCGUGACGGUACCUGAUCAGGAAGCAACGGCUAACUACGUG